GUCUAUGGCCAUGCCACCCUGAACAAGCCCCAUGUCUGAUCUCAGAAACUAAGCAGGGUCGGGCCUGGUUAGUACUUGGAUGGGAGACUACCUAUGAAGACCAGGUGCUAUAGGCA
rnacentral:rRNA from 1 species